rnacentral:rRNA from 1 species
GUUGUUUAGUUGAAAAUUAAUUAAAUAGUUUUCGAUUUUAAGUAGUAUUGACUUUAUCAGCUUGCUGCUUUCUUUUCGGAAAUUAUUUAAUGCACUUUUCAGUUAACAAGUCAACAUCAAUUUCUUUUGUUGUAAAAAGGUAAGAGGAAGGUGGCUUGCGCUUCGGCUCAAGUGUUUAUAGCCUUUUACCCCUGCAAUCGGAGAGAUUGAGGUCUGCAGCGUAGAUCCUUCGGGGUUAGAUACAUUUGUGCUAAGCUAUAGCCUUGUAUAGACAACUUGUUGACUAUGCUCAGUCAUGUAGCUUACUCGCUUAUGUUAUUUUACCUAC